rnacentral:lncRNA from 1 species
GGCCAUGACAGCUGUUCCUCCAACACUGAUGAACACUGUGAGGGAAAACUCCACGAGUCAGGCUCAGGGCUUCCCCAAGGCCAGCCUGCUGAGACAGGUUUUGGGGCCGGAGUCAGGGGACCAGGAGGUUCCCUUUUCCUGCUGGAGAGAAGAAAAUGGACUCUGGACUUAAAGUUUAUAAGGACAAGAAUCAGCCUAUCUUCUUCCUGGCUGUGAAUCACUGCCUCUUCCCACCCGUUUGCACAGACACCUGAGUUAAUUUAGUCUCAUCUAAUUCCUCCUGCUGUUUUCAGUGGGACUUCCGCCACCUUGGCAGCAUGAGUCAAAAUGGGAUCAUCCUCCUCAUCUGACUACUUAACGAAUUGAGGUAUUUAUUUGGAGCUGAAUGUUUACAACGAAAGUCACCAACCAUCUUGUUUUUUCAUGUUUUGACAG